GCACGGGGAGGUAGUGACGAAAAAUAACGAUACGGAACUCAUACGAGGCUCCGUAAUCGGAAUGAGUACACUUUAAAUCCUUUAACGAGGAUCUAUUGGAGGGCAAGUCUGGUGCCAGCAGCCGCGGUAAUUCCAGCUCCAAUAGCGUAUAUUAAAGUUGUUGCGGUUAAAAAGCUCGUAGUUGGAUCUCGGUUUCACUCAGGUGGUACACCUUGCGGUGUUCACUAUCUGGGUGGACGUUUCUGUUGGUUCGCUCUUGGUGCUCUUCAUCGGGUGCCAUUUGGUGGCCAGCACGUUUACUUUGAAAAAAUUGGAGUGCUCAAAGCAGGCGUUACAGCCUGAACAUUAGUGCAUGGAAUAAUGGAAUAGGAUCUCGAUUCUAUUUCGUUGGCUUUCGGAGUCAAGGUAAUGAUUAAUAGGGACAGACGGAGGCAUUCGUACUGCGACGUUAGAGGUGAAAUUCUUGGAUCGUCGCAAGACGAACUACUGCGAAAGCAUUUGCCAAGAAUGUUUUCAUUAAUCAAGAACGAAAGUUAGAGGUUCGAAGGCGAUCAGAUACCGCCCUAGUUCUAACCAUAAACGAUGCCAACCGGCGAUCCGUCGUCGUUAAUUGAAUGACUCGACGGGCAGCCUCCGGGAAACCAGAGUGUUUGGGUUCCGGGGGAAGUAUGGUUGCAAAGCUGAAACUUAAAGGAAUUGACGGAAGGGCACCACCAGGAGUGGAGCCUGCGGCUUAAUUUGACCCAACACGGGAAAUCUCACCAGGCCCGGACACCGGAAGGAUUGACAGAUUGAGAGCUCUUUCUUGAUUCGGUGGGUGGUGGUGCAUGGCCGUUCUUAGUUGGUGGAGCGAUUUGUCUGGUUAAUUCCGAUAACGAACGAGACUCUGGCCUACUAACUAGAAGGUCUAUCCUUUAUGGGUAGGCCUCUGCUUCUUAGAGGGACGGGCGGCGUUUAGCCGCACGAGAAUGAGCAAUAACAGGUCUGUGAUGCCCUUAGAUGUUCUGGGCUGCACGCGCGCUACACUGAAGGAAUCAGCAUGUUCUCCCCUCCCUGAAAAGGGCGGGUAACCCGUUGAAACUCCUUCGUGAUGGGGAUUGGAGAUUGUAAUUAUUCUCCAUGAACGAGGAAUUCCCAGUAGGCGCGAGUCAUCAGCUUGCGUCGAUUACGUCCCUGCCCUUUGUACACACCGCCCGUCGCUACUACCGAUCGAGUGAUUUAGUGAGGACUUCGGACUGGUCUUCAAGUUGGCUUCGGUCGGCUCGAAGUUCCGGAAAGAUGCCCAAACUUGAUCACUUAGA
rnacentral:rRNA from 1 species